GUGGGGAUAUUGGACAAUGGGCGCAAGCCUGAUCCAGCCAUGCCGCGUGAGUGAUGAAGGCCUUAGGGUUGUAAAGCUCUUUCACCGGUGAAGAUAAUGACGGUAACCGGAGAAGAAGCCCCGGCUAACUUCGUGCCAGCAGCCGCGGUAAUACGAAGGGGGCUAGCGUUGUUCGGAAUUACUGGGCGUAAAGCGCACGUAGGCGGAUAUUUAAGUCAGGGGUGAAAUCCCAGAGCUCAACUCUGGAACUGCCUUUGAUACUGGGUAUCUCGAGUAUGGAAGAGGUAAGUGGAAUUCCGAGUGUAGAGGUGAAAUUCGUAGAUAUUCGGAGGAACACCAGUGGCGAAGGCGGCUGACUGGACAAGUAUUGACGCUGAGGUGCGAAAGCGUGGGGAGCAAACAGGAUUAGAUACCCGUGUAGUCC
rnacentral:rRNA from 1 species